AUUGAACGCUAGCGGCAUGCCUAACACAUGCAAGUCGAGCGGCAGCGAGUCUGUAGUAAUACAGAUGUCGGCGAGCGGCGUACGGGUGAGUAAAAUAUAGGAAUCUGCCUCGAGGAGGGGGAUAACUUGGGGAAACUCAAGCUAAUACCACAUAAGACCUAAGGGUGAAAGCAGGGGAUCGAAAGACCUUGCGCCUUGAGAUGAGCCUAUAACGGAUUAGCUAGCCGGGGGGGUAAUGGCCCACCAAGGCGACGAUCUGUAGCUGGUCUGAGAGGACGACCAGCCACACUGGGACUGAGACACGGCCCAGACUCCUACGGGAGGCAGCAGUGGGGAAUUUUGGACAAUGGGCGCAAGCCUGAUCCAGCCAUUCCGCGUGCAGGACGAAGGCCUUCGGGUUGUAAACUGCUUUUGUACGGAACGAAAAGGCUCUGGUUAAUACCUGGGGCUCAUGACGGUACCGUAAGAAUAAGCACCGGCUAACUACGUGCCAGCAGCCGCCGUAA
rnacentral:rRNA from 1 species